rnacentral:rRNA from 1 species
UACGUAGGGGGCGAGCGUUGUCCGGAAUGACUGGGCGUAAAGGGUGCGUAGGCGGCCCGAGAGGUCCUGGGUGAAAGGCCCCGGCUCAACCGGGGAGGGCCCCAGGAAACCGGCGGGCUAGAGGGCUGGAGAGGGCCGCGGAAUUCCCGGUGUAGCGGUGAAAUGCGUAGAUAUUCGGAAGAACACCAGUGGCGAAGGCGACUGACUGGACAAGUAUUGACGCUGAGGUGCGAAAGCGUGGGGAGCAAACAGG